UACGUAGGGACCGAGCGUUGUCCGGAAUCAUUGGGCGUAAAGAGCGUGUAGGCGGCCACUUAAGUCCUGCGUGAAAUCUUGCGGCUCAACCGCAAGCGGUCGUGGGAAACUGGGUGGCUAGAGUGCGGGAGAGGAGAGUGGAAUUCCUGGUGUAGCGGUGAAAUGCGUAGAUAUCAGGAGGAACACCUGUGGUGUAGACAGCUUACUGGACCAUCACUGACGCUGAGACACGAAAGCGUGGGUAGCAAACAGG
rnacentral:rRNA from 1 species